rnacentral:rRNA from 1 species
CCUACGGGAGGCAGCAGUGAGGAAUAUUGGUCAAUGGGCGUAAGCCUGAACCAGCCAAGUCGCGUGAGGGAUGAAGGUUCUAUGGAUCGUAAACCUCUUUUAUAAGGGAAUAAAGUGUGGGACGUGUCCUGUUUUGUAUGUACCUUAUGAAUAAGGAUCGGCUAACUCCGUGCCAGCAGCCGCGGUAAUACGGAGGAUCCGAGCGUUAUCCGGAUUUAUUGGGUUUAAGGGGUGUGUAGGCGGCCUUUUAAGUCAGCGGUGAAAGUCUGUGGCUAAACCAUAGAAUUGCCGUUGAAACUGGGAGGCUUGAGUAUGUUUGAGGCAGGCGGAAUGCGUGGUGUAGCGGUGAAAUGCUUAGAUAGCACGCAGAACCCCGAUGGCGAAGGCAGCCUGCCAAGCCAUGACUGACGCUGAUGCACGAAAGCGUGGGGAUCAAACAGGAUUAGAUACCCCUGUAGUC